GAUGAACGCUGGCGGCGUGCCUAAUACAUGCAAGUCGAGCGAACGGACGCUAAGCUUGCUUUUCUGACGUUAGCGGCGGACGUGUGAGUAACACGUGGAUAACCUACCUAUAAUACUGGGAUAACUUCGGGAAACCGGAGCUUAUACCGGAUAAUAUUUUGAACCGCAUGGUUCAAAAGUGAAAGACGGUCUUGCUGUCACUUAUAGAUGGAUCCGCGCUGCAUUAGCUAGUUGGUAAGGUAACGGCUUACCAAGGCAACGAUGCAUAGCCGACCUGAGAGGGUGAUCGGCCACACUGGAACUGAGACACGGUCCAGACUACUACGGGAGGCAGCAGUAGGGAAUCUUACGCAAUGGGCGAAAGCCUGACGGAGCAACGCCGCGUGAGUGAUGAAGGUCUUGGGAUCGUAAAACUCUGUUAUUAGGGAAGAACAUAUGUGUAAGUAACUGUGCACAUCUUGACGGUAACUAAUCAGAAAGCCACGGCUAACUACGUG
rnacentral:rRNA from 1 species